rnacentral:misc_RNA from 1 species
AGCAGCCGCGGUAAUUCCAGCUCCAAUAGCGUAUAUUAAAGUUGUUGCAGUUAAAAAGCUCGUAGUUGAAUUUCGGGGUUAGCAGGUCGGUCGUGCCAUCGGUAUGAACUGGUCUCGCUGAUCCCUCCCUCUUGACGAACUGUGAUGCCAUUAAUUUGGUGUCGCAGGGAAUCAGGACUGUUACUUUGAAAAAUUAGAGUGUUUAAAGCAGGCUCACGCUUGAAUACAUUAGCAUGGAAUAAUGAAAUAGGACGUUUGAUCCUAUUUUGUUGGUUUCUAGGAUUGACGUAAUGAUUAAUAGGGAUAGUUGGGGGCAUUAGUAUUCAAUUGUCAGAGGUGAAAUUCUUGGAUUUAUUGAAGACUAACUACUGCGAAAGCAUUUGCCAAGGAUGUUUUCAUUAAUCAAGAACGAAAGUUAGGGGAUCGAAGACGAUCAGAUACCGUCGUAGUCUUAACCAUAAACUAUGCCGACUAGGGAUCGGAUGAUGUUAAUUUUUAAUGACUCAUUAC